UACGUAGGGGGCUAGCGUUGUCCGGAUUUAUUGGGCGUAAAGAGCGUGUAGGCGGCCAUGUAGGUCCGGUGUGAAAACUCGAGGCUUAACCUCGAGAUGUCAUCGGAAACCAUUUGGCUAGAGUCCGGAAGAGGAGAGUGGAAUUCCGUGGUGUAGCGGUGAAAUGCGCAGAUAUCAGGAAGAACACCAAUGGCGAAAGCAGCUCUCUGGGAACGGUACUGACGCUGAGACGCG
rnacentral:rRNA from 1 species